ACCGAUCCCGAUCACCUACGAGCUUAUCACAGCCCUAGGUCACCGACGCACCUUCUCUUCUUGGCGGCUGAAUUAGGUCACGGAUCGGAGGGGAUCAGUGAGUUUGUUCUUGAGUUGUCGGGCAGAGUCUAUGUUUGUAAUUGAUCAGUGAUGAUCUUCCGAUUGGGUGAUUUCUUCUGGAGACAACCUUUUGAGAUCAGCUUCUUGCUGUGUUUGAGAUAUCGGUUGAAGUGGGAAGAGAAUUCCAACAGGUGUUGUAUUCUAUGAUCGGGAAUUGAGUGUUGUGGAUCAACAAGCGUAGCUGUGAAGUUUUGUUGUGUUGUGGUGUUCUUUAAUCCUUUCUUGGUUCCGGCAGCACACCAACCAGCAGCCUCCUAGUUCCAACAUCAACAAUAGCUGGGAUUGAGGUUGAGGCCGUCGGGAGAUAUUCCAGUCGCUAGCCCCAUUAUCGCGAGGAUU